GACGGAAGGUGCAAGCGUUGCUCGGAAUCACUGGGCGUAAAGGGUGCGUAGGCGGCUUGGUAGGUCUGGUGUGAAAGCCCCGGGCUCAGCCCGGGAAGGGCACUAGAAACUGCCAAGCUAGAGUGCCGGAGGGGAGAGUGGAAUUCCUGGUGUAGCGGUGAAAUGCGUAGAGAUCAGGAGGAAUACCGGUGGCGAAGGCGGCGACCUGGGUCGAGACUGACGCUGAGGCGCGAAAGCGUGGGGAGCAAACAGG
rnacentral:rRNA from 1 species